rnacentral:rRNA from 1 species
UGCCCGCGAGGGAGCCCUAGCACAGGUGCUGCAUGGCCGUCGUCAGCUCGUGCCGUGAGGUGUUGGGUUAAGUCCCGCAACGAGCGCAACCCCCGCCGUUAGUUGCCAGCGGUUCGGCCGGGCACUCUAACGGGACUGCCCGCGAAAGCGGGAGGAAGGAGGGGACGACGUCUGGUCAGCAUGGCCCUUACGGCCUGGGCGACACACGUGCUACAAUGCCCACUACAAAGCGAUGCCACCCGGCAACGGGGAGCUAAUCGCAAAAAGGUGGGCCCAGUUCGGAUUGGGGUCUGCAACCCGACCCCAUGAAGCCGGAAUCGCUAGUAAUCGCGGAUCAGCCAUGCCGCGGUGAAUACGUUCCCGGGCCUU